GCUGUGGCUGGUAUUGUUACCUUGCAUAAAAUAAAUAUUUGUCUCCAAGAUCAAAUCUUUUCCCAAUCUGUUUCCUCAGAGGUUACUGACAAAAAUUUAUUUAAAAUAACAUUUGUCUGGGGAAGAUGAACAAGUCACAUAAGACUCAUCCUUGUGGAAACGAGAUCUACAUAAAUGUUAAUUAUUUUGCCAUAGGUAUGUUAGGAUAUAGGUAGGUGCUUAAAUAUAUGAUUAUACAGUAUGCUGAACUGUUUUUAGAUUUUUCUCAUGCGCAGUAUUAAUGUGUCUCACAUAUAGGCCAACUUCUACAGCUUUUAAAAUUAAAUUUUACUUUCAUUUUCAAAUCUUCUGUUAAUUACUAAAAGCCCUUAAUUAUGUAAACAUUUAUAAAUCAGAAGGGACGAUGGUUAAGGUACAGCUGGAAGAGUGGUUUGAGUUUUGUACUUGACAAAACAGUUGGAGGUGUGGAAGUCCCUCCCAGUGUAUGAACAGGCAAGAGAGGUGGCAGCUUCUUUGCUGCAGGAACUCCUCAUAACACAGACGACAGACAGCAGCAGCAGAGAGCAGGGCUGUACCAGAACAAGGCUGGCCACACAGCCUGCUCACACAUACAAUGACACAGAAACACUUGUCGCAUGCACUGUAACACACUCUGACUGUCUUGUGUUUACUGCAGUAUACAGUCUAAUAUUUAAACUUCUCAUGUUUCAGGUUCCUCUGGUGGACCUGUAUUGUCCUGGAUCGCAAGUCUGAUGAACGGGUAGCAAAGAACGAAGACUGGUCUGGGCCACCUGCUGCAGCACCAGCAGCAGCAGCAGCAGCAGAAGAGGGUGCUGUAAGAGAGAUGUCCGUGGACAGCCUGAGUCUUCUCGCUGUGCACUCAGGCAUGGUAGGUGGACAGGAUCUUGCUCUACCCCAUCUGGAGCCAGCAUCCUGCGCGCUAGAAAUUGAGUGCGAGAAGUAGACUGUCUUCUCAAGCAUGUUAGAUGGGAGUGUGCCAAUUUAGGCCCCAAGGAACACCUGUUCUGCACACUCCACAAAAUUGCCCUCGUGGCCAGCACUACUCAGACCUGUAGGCCGGGAAGAAGCUGGUUUUAGUCCAGAGCAGCAAGCAUUCCGCUCACCACACAAAACGCCAUUCAGACUAGAGCACAAUAAGUAGGAUGUCUACACAUUCCUGCAGGACAGAAGAGUGACUAUACUGGCGCAGAGCAGCAAGUGUUGUGCUGUCUAAACAAAACACUCUUCAGGACCAAGCACUGUUGGCCGGAAAGGAUCUGAUUAUAUCCUGGAGCAGCAAGAAUUCUGCUUGCCAUGCAAAACGGCGUUCGAACUCGACCUAAGGAACUAAAAUGUUACUCAGCCCUGUUUGCUGGCAGUGUGCUGAUUUUGUCCCAAAGCAGCAACUGUUCUGAACACUUGACAAAACGGCCUUCAGAGCCAACCACUACUCAGAUCUAUUGUCCUUGAAGAAGCUGAUUUCAGCCCAGAGCAGGAAGCAUUCUGCUCACCAGGCAAGAUGGUGUUCAGACUCGACAAUAGGAAGUAGGAUGUCUACUCAAGCCUGCUGGCUGGAGGGUGACUAUAUUGGUCCAGGGCAGCAGGUAUUCUGCUCGCCAACAAAACAGCCUUCACGGCCAAGUACUACUCAGGCCUGUUGUCUAGAAAGGAGCUGAAUUUGGCGCAGAGUAACAAGCAUUCUGCUCACUAGAUAAAACAGUCUUCAAACUCGAGUGCAAGAAAUGGGACUGCCUACUUGGUGGUGAGGAGCAUUUUGGUCCAGAACAGCAACUACCCAUCUGGCUAGACAAAUUGGCCUUCAGUGUCUAGUACUACUCAGAAAUGUUGUCCGGGAAGGAGCUAAUUUUACCUUGGAGAAAUUAGCAUUCCGCACACUAUGCAGAAUGGCCUUCAGCCUCGAGAACAAGGAGGAUAUGCACUCAGGCAUGUCAGGUGGACAGGAACUUGCUCUGCCCCAUGCGGAGCCAGCAUUCUGCGCGCUAGAAGUUGAGUGUGAGAAGUAGACUGUCUUCUCAAGCAUGUUAGCUGGGAGUGUGCCAAUUUUGGCCCCAAAGAACACCUGUUCUGCACACUCCACAAAAUGGCCCUCGUGGCCAGCACUACUCAGACCUGUAGGCCGGGAAGAAGCUGGUUUUAGUCCAGAGCAGCAAGCAUUCCGCUCACCACACAAAACGCCAUUCAGACUAGAGCACAAUAAGUAGGAUGUCUACACAGUCCUGCCGGACAGAAGAGUGACUAUACUGGCCCAGAGCAGCAAGUGUUGUGCUGUCUAAACAAAACACUCUUCAGGACCAAGCACUGUUGGCCGGAAAGGAUCUGAUUAUAUCCUGGAGCAGCAAGAAUUCUGCUUGCCAUGCAAAACGGCGUUCGAACUCGACCUAAGGAACUAAAAUGUUCUUUUGUUCACAGUUACUCAGCCCUGUUUGCUGGCAGUGUGCUGAUUUUGUUCCAAAGCAGCAACUGUUCUGAACAAUUGACAAAACGACCUUCAGAGCCAACCACUACUCAGAUCUAUUGUCCUUGAAGAAGCUGAUUUCAGCCCAGAGCAGGAAGCAUUCUGCUCACCAGGCAAGAUGGUGUUCAGACUCGACAAUAGGAAGUAGGAUGUCUACUCAAGCCUGCUGGCUGGAGGGUGACUAUAUUGGUCCAGGGCAGCAGGUAUUCUGCUCGCCAACAAAACAGCCUUCACGGCCAAGUACUACUCAGGCCUGUUGUCUAGAAAGGAGCUGAAUUUGGCGCAGAGUAACAAGCAUUCUGCUCACUAGAUAAAACAGUCUUCAAACUCGAGUGCAAGAAAUGGGACUGCCUACUUGGUGGUGAGGAGCAUUUUGGUCCAGAACAGCAACUACCCAUCUGGCUAGACAAAUUGGCCUUCAGUGUCUAGUACUACUCAGAAAUGUUGUCCGGGAAGGAGCUAAUUUUACCUUGGAGAAAUUAGCAUUCCGCACACUAUGCAGAAUGGCCUUCAGCCUCGAGAACAAGGAGGAUAGUGUGCUUGGUUGUCGUGGACAGGCCUAAUGUCCCCUGUGACAGGUCAGCCAGCAGUGACAAAGUCAUUAGUGUUGGAGUGUACACCCACCUUCCAGGCAACGGGGACAGCUCAUCACCAAUGAGGAUUUUUUUCCUAUUGCGGUGGGCAUCCGCCUACUAUAAGUGCAGCCAACACACUAGCAACACCACGUGCCGACAUCAUGGGCACUGACAAGACACCACCUGUUGGAUGGAGACGCUGUGGUUCUGCUGCUACCACAACAGAAGCGUUACGUCAUUGUGAGGUUAACACUCAGUACAGUCAGCAAUGUUUGGCCUAGCAUUUAAAACUGAUUUUUGUUUACAAUAAACAAAUUAUUUGAGCAA